GACCCCUAGCUUUGUUUAAAGGGGAACUACUGCCAUUUUCAAAAUUCAGACAUGUUAUUCCUAUGGUCUAAGACAGUCCAAAAAAUAUUACUAAACAUGAAAAACUCUCUCCCAAAUACAAAAACUAGGGUGCUAAAACUCAAACUUGUGAUGUCAUAGGGUAUAAAGUGUGGAUCUGCUCCAUAGACAAUGAAUAGGGAGACAUGUUUUAGAUGACACAGAGAGCACCCACGGGAAAUGUUGCGAGCAUAUGGGAACAUUUUCUGUUUCCCAACUGAGAACAC